UACAGAGGUCUCAAGCGUUGUUCGGAUUCAUUGGGCGUAAAGGGUGCGUAGGCGGCGCGGUAAGUCGGGUGUGAAAUUUCGAGGCUUAACUUCGAAACUGCAUUCGAUACUGCCGUGCUUGAGGACUAGAGAGGAGACUGGAAUUUACGGUGUAGCGGUGAAAUGCGUAGAUAUCGUAAGGAAGACCAGUGGCGAAGGCGGGUCUCUGGGCAGGAAGGAAGCGUAAGCUUCCGGCUGACGCU
rnacentral:rRNA from 1 species